rnacentral:rRNA from 1 species
GUGGGGAAUAUUGGGCAAUGGGGGAAACCCUGACCCAGCAACGCCGCGUGAAGGAAGAAGGUUUUCGGAUUGUAAACUUCUGUCCUAAGGGAAGAAAGAAAUGACGGUACCUUAGGAGGAAGCCCCGGCUAACUACGUGCCAGCAGCCGCGGUAAUACGUAGGGGGCAAGCGUUGUCCGGAAUUAUUGGGCGUAAAGGGUGCGUAGGCGGCCGAUCAAGUCAGGUGUGAAAGACCCGUGCUUAACAUGGGGGUUGCACUUGAAACUGGUUGGCUUGAGUAUGGGAGAGGCAAGCGGAAUUCCCGGUGUAGCGGUGAAAUGCGUAGAGAUCGGGAGGAACACCAGUGGCGAAGGCGGCUUGCUGGACCAAAACUGACGCUGAGGCACGAAAGCGUGGGUAGCAAACAGGAUUAGAAACCCGAGUAGUCC